GCUCUCCAUAACUGCAAUCUCUUUAUUUAUAUAUGACUUUUUAAUUACUUUUAUCUGACCUUUACAUAGAGUCAUUUGUCUUCAUCCCAUAUUUGAAAUAUAGAUGGUCUUGACUAGUGUGAAUGCAAGCUAAGGAGAUCUGAAUACGUAAAGGAUAUUUUCAGUUUACUUCUGCUCUUUGCUGUCCCACAGUUCCAGCAGUGCAUGUGCUUGGGGGAAGGAAUUCCUCUACAAUCAAGGGGCUCAUGGCAAGGCUCAGAAUAGGUGUUCCAUCUCUACUUGUUUUUGUAAAAUUGGAAGUGAAAGAACUCUACACAUUUCUUUUCUUGCUGAUGAAGCUUGGAUCUGGAUCAGAACCACCACCAAACUCUUGGAUAGGAUCACUGGACCUCCCAGCUUGUGCAUCAAGACUUUUUGUCUUCAGUCUACUUGCUUGUUUGGGUUUGCAGUGAUGAGUCUGGCUCUAAAACCCAGUGCUAUAGAUAAAUGUCUGUUUACAUACUUUGAGUCUUAGGAUUCUCAGUAUAGCUUGAGGCUGGAUUACAGUCCCAAGCAAACAGAGGCUGGGACAGAGCCAUAGACCCCACUGUGUGUAAGAGGCAAGUUUCUGUAAGAAGCAGAGGCUGGGAUAGUGUCCCAAGUUUUUCUGUUCUAAGUUUAAAGAAACUGUGUGUUCUCACUCUACUGAAAGCUCUUAUCCUCAGCCAAGUUGUGCUGCUGUAAUGGAAUGCCACAGACUGGGGAACUGAUAGUGAACAGAAAUUUAUUGGCUCAUGAUUCUGUAGUCUGGGAAAUCCAAGGUUGAGGGGCCAGCAUCUCGAGAGGGACUUCUUGCUGUGUCACUCCCAUUUUUGGGGGAGAAUAUGCUUUUAUUUUCAAACUCAGGUGUGUGACACUCUACCGUUCAAUGCUAGCACACCUGUGUGAGGCUUAACAACACGAGGAGCUGACAGCCAGUGAUACACAAAUUCAGCACCUCCCUCUCCAUUUAUUCUGUCAGGCUAUACAUGGGGAGCAACAAAUACGGCUAUGUGACAGCAAGAAAGUGAAGGUCUUUUUAGGAGGUGACAUCAACAAUGACGCAAACACACCACUCUGCAACCGAAAGCAAGGAACCAGAAUCCUAGGGCUACGCAGAGAUGUCAGACUUCAUAGGUGUUUCAGGACUUUUAUUUCAGACCAACAUCACCACUGGAAACCCAGGGCUUGUUUCUCUCCAGUUCACUACUGCUUGGGCAGCAGCUCCAACUGCUUGGAAGGACAAAGAGAUGGUGAGAGAGAGAAAAAGGGGGACAAAUUCAUCCUUUGAAAAGGAGCUUACUCCUGUGAUAAUGGCAUUCACCUCAUCACGAAAGCAGAGCCCUCCUGGCCUAAUCACAGCUCAUUAGGCCCCACCUCUUAACAUUGUCACAUUGGAGAUUGUUUCUAGCACAUGAACUUUGGGGGACACAUUUAAACCACAGUACCCUCUCUUCUCAAACUCCUGUGGACAAUACCCUUUGCCACUGUGGCUGUGGCUGUAAUACCAUUGGCUUUCUUUCACCCUGGAAAACCUUUACUAAAAACCCUCUUGACCUACAAUGGCCCUUCUGGGGAUCCUUGUCUGUCUUGAUAUUGGUUCACCUAGAAGACACUUAGAGUAACAAGAAACAAAAAUCUUGGAUGCACAAUUCACUUAUUCUGCUUGGUAUGAAGAAGCUGAAAAAUGACUAAAUAAUUCAAGCUGUACUCAAAACUCUAAAACAAGAAGAACUUCUUAAACAAGGUAUUCAGAAAACAUUUUCUGACCCAGUUAGCCCUGUAUACCCCUCCUAUGGUAUUCCCGGAGUCCCCUCGCAGCCCUCCUCUGUAUCUUUCUUUCUCAAAAUGUCCCCUGCACGUCUCACCCCUAGUCCUUCAGCUCCCUAGAGCUGUCAGGCUCACUGGGCCCUCUCUCCUGUAGGUGAAGCCAGAGACGCAGCCUGUACUUGUUUCCAAGUGCGGACCACCGAAGAGAUAAUACUUAAUUACUUGUUAUCACCAAGGACUCUCCUGACCCCCAGG
rnacentral:lncRNA from 1 species